rnacentral:lncRNA from 1 species
CAUGCAUCACAAUGCCAAAAGAUUAAAAUUUGUUUGUUCAUUUAGUCUAUGUUUGGUAUCACGACUCGUAUGCCACUCACCGUGAUACUGACAUAUCCACCGUGAUACCAAAGAUACACUUACUCAAUAGAUUGGUAUCAUAAAUAAAUAAAACAGGUUGACAGCAAGAAACAUUACCUUGGAUUGUGAAAAGACACGAAAACGAGGAGGGACAAAGUUGGUUCGAGGAAGUGUGAUUGUGGUGAAGAAGAGGGGAAAGGCAUGAAUAGUAGACAUUUGAAGAUUGUAGAGAAAAGUAUGUGACGGUGUCAUUGUAAUACAAUAAGAUAAUAUAAGAAGGAAGAAAUUGAGAGAAAUAUGGUAUAGUAAAUUAAUAGUAUAGUCCCUCCGUCCCAAAUUGGCAAUAUUACACUAUUUACACAUAUUAUUU